UUUUUUUUUUUUUUUUUAUUGAAACAGGUUGAAGAAGCUGAGCCAAACCAUAAUUUGAUCCAAUUUUGUUUGCUUUAUUAACCAUACACACCCCUGAUUAUAUUUACCUAUAGCACAAAAGUCAUGCUUAAUAAUAUAUAUUGGUGUGGAGCAGGAGUAGUUUGUAAAAAAUCAAACAAUACAAUUACAAGUUUGCACAUAAGGUGCCAUCUUUCAAUGAAUAUAUGGUCGGUAUAAGUAAAUCUUUCAGUGGGACACAACUUUUAGUACAUUUUAGAUACACUCAGUCUAGCAAACUUUACAACUCUUGAAGUGAAUAUUACCAGUCAUCUGCAACAUUUGUCGCUCCAAGAACAAUCGCAACUGUAGCC
rnacentral:lncRNA from 1 species